GGUAAUAUAGCUUAGUGGUAGAGUGCUUGCUUUGCAUGCACGUAGCCCUGGGUUCUAUUCCUUAGUACCA
rnacentral:tRNA from 1 species